UACAGAGACUGCAAGCGUUAUUCGGAUUCACUGGGCGUAAAGGGUGCGCAGUCGACCAAGUGUGUCAGAUGUGAAAUCCCGAGGCUCAACCUCGGAACUGCGUCUGAAACUACUUGGCUAGAGUACUGGAGAGGGUGGUGGAAUUCCUCGUGUAGCGGUGAAAUGCGUAGAGAUGAGGAGGAACACCAGUGGCGAAGGCGGCCACCUGGACAGUAACUGACGCUGAGGCGCGAAAGCGUGGGUAGCAAACAGG
rnacentral:rRNA from 1 species